rnacentral:rRNA from 1 species
UGGGGAAUAUUGCACAAUGGGCGCAAGCCUGAUGCAGCCAUGCCGCGUGUGUGAAGAAGGCCUUCGGGUUGUAAAGCACUUUCAGCGGGGAGGAAGGCGAUAAGGUUAAUAACCUUGUCGAUUGACGUUACCCGCAGAAGAAGCACCGGCUAACUCCGUGCCAGCUGCCGCGGUAAUACGGAGGGUGCAAGCGUUAAUCGGAAUUACUGGGCGUAAAGCGCACGCAGGCGGUCUGUCAAGUCGGAUGUGAAAUCCCCGGGCUCAACCUGGGAACUGCAUUCGAAACUGGCAGGCUAGAGUCUUGUAGAGGGGGGUAGAAUUCCAGGUGUAGCGGUGAAAUGCGUAGAGAUCUGGAGGAAUACCGGUGGCGAAGGCGGCCCCCUGGACAAAGACUGACGCUCAGGUGCGAAAGCGUGGGGAGCAAACAGG